rnacentral:rRNA from 1 species
UACGUAGGGUGCGAGCGUUAAUCGGAAUUACUGGGCGUAAAGCGUGCGCAGGCGGCGCGUUAAGCCAGAUGUGAAAGCCCCGGGCUCAACCUGGGAACUGCAUUUGGGACUGCAAGGCUGGAGUACGGCAGAGGGAGGUGGAAUUCCACGUGUAGCAGUGAAAUGCGUAGAGAUGUGGAGGAACACCGAUGGCGAAGGCAGCCUCCUGGGCUAGUACUGACGCUCAUGCACGAAAGCGUGGGGAGCAAACAGG